AUCCAGUGGGGUCAAAGAAGUCAUCUGUUCCAGGAUGCACUUGGGCCAGAAUGACAAUCCCAUGGGCACCUGUUCCUAUUCUUUACCAGGUUCACCAUUUAUACCACUGUCAUGAGUGCUGCAGCGCCAAGCAAUUACACGACACGGAUAAGGACCCUGGAAUAAAUGGAAAGGGAAGAAAGAUCCCUUUUGAAAAACCAAAGGCUGGACUGUCUAUGCCAUGCAUCCAGAGGAUAAAAGCAUCAAGACGGGUCUCGUGCUUGGAAUUCACCAUCCUGAAAUAAAUCUGCAACAAAUAACUCCUAAUCCCUAGUGAUAUGAAGAUAGCACAUUGAUGAUAUCUGGUGAAAGGUCAGAAACAGGAAGAGAGAAUUUGGCCAGGCCUGGAUGUCCAGGAGUAAGAGGCACAUUCUGCCAUUCUCAGCCACCUCCCCAGUGAUUGGUAAAUAGGAGUGUGGAUUCUGCAGAAAUGGAUAGGCUUUCCUCAUCCCCAGAGGUUUCGGAAGCGAAGACUUCCUGGUGCUGAAUCCGGUUACCAUGCCACCCAAUUCGUUUCAUCUUUUCAUGACCUUUCUAGCAGGUAGUGCCCGCAAGGUGUGUGAUGCAGCCCCCUUGCUGAAGCCAAGCCAAUGCGUGCCUGAUCAUUACCUGAGCAAGAGCCUGCACCUGUGCGGCCUUGGUGUGCACAGAAGGAGGGCUGGACAGGGGUGAGAUGACGCCGAGAGCGCAGAAUUGCAGCAGGAGGGAAUAAGGGUGAGUGCUUGCCGGAAGUGACCCAAGCAGCCACCGCCCCAGCACUGCUCCUGUUCUCAGGCUGCUGAGGAGCUAGAAAAUGCGGACGCAGCAGAGGGCGUGAGGGAAGCCUCGCUGGUGCACAGAGCCUUUCUCCUCAGCUCACGAAGAGGGGCACCAGCAGUAGCCCAGCGAUCCCCCAACUGUACGCAGCUUGUGCUGCAGUGUCCCCAGACCCAGGGACCCCCAGAUGUGUUGGAUAGACAAUUCCCAGAAUCCCCCAGCCAGCAUAAAUGGUCAGCCUAGCACACGGAUUUGUUCUCCGACUUCAGUGCCUUAGUUCUGGUGUUCAAAAGACCUUUUUAACUAAAGCGUUGAUGCUGUAUUUUAACCAGCCCCACCACUGUGCCUCUGCGACAGUCUGCUUGCAGCUGCUGUGGUCUUCUUUUCUGUCUUUUCUGUUGUGUGUUUUUAACUUGGUUAACCACCCAGAGAGCUUUGGCUGUUGGGUGGUAUAAAAUGAAGGAAAUGAACAAAUGAACCGUUAAUCAUGAAUUGCAUUUUUUCUAAAAUGUUUCACAUGUUAGUCCUCAGAUGAUUAAAUUACAGGGCUUGGCUGCCGCUUACUGGUAGAGCACUUGUUUUGCACGCAGAAGCUCCAGGAUUCGGCCCCGACACCUGCAGAUGGGGCUUGGAAAGAAACCCAGGAAAGCCCCUGCUGCAGUCGGUGCUGACGGCACAGGCCUUGAAGACCCCGGAGUCUGAUCAGCUGCUCCUUGUGUAUGCUUUGCUGCUGUUCUUGGAACCAAAUAUUGGAUGAGAGCCUUGAAAUAAAGUGACUUUCUCCCUGUUUGUCUUAAGUCUCUUUCCAAACCUUCAAUUUCCCUGUCAGACACCUAGAAUACCUCAACUUUAGUGGGGUGGAGAGGUCUGCCCGCUCCCCUUAUCCAAUUUCCUUGUGCAGAACUUUCCAAAAGGUCCUACCAUUGCAGAAGCAAUUGUCUCUCCAAGGUUCCCUCAGCCUGAGAGUCCUG
ensembl:lncRNA